UACGUAGGGGGCUAGCGUUGUCCGGAUUUAUUGGGCGUAAAGAGCGUGUAGGCGGCCAGGUAGGUCUGGUGUGAAAACUCGAGGCUUAACCUCGAGAUGUCAUCGGAAACCAUCUGGCUAGAGUCCGGAAGAGGAGAGUGGAAUUCCUGGUGUAGCGGUGAAAUGCGCAGAUAUCAGGAAGAACACCAAUGGCGAAAGCAGCUCUCUGGGACGGUACUGACGCUGAGACGCGAA
rnacentral:rRNA from 1 species